UAUCGAUGAAAAACGCAGCUAGCUGCGUUAUUUACCACGAAUUGCAGACGCUUAGAGUGGUGAAAUUUUGAACGCAUAGCGCCGUUGGGUUUUCCCUUCGGCACGUCUGGUUCAGGGUUGUUAAUGAAACUACUACAGUGUGGCUAACAUAUA
rnacentral:rRNA from 1 species